rnacentral:rRNA from 1 species
CUAAUACCGGAUGAUACUUUCUAUCUCAUGUUAGAAAGUUGAAAGAUGGUUUACGCUAUCGCUACAGGAUGGGCCCGCGGCGCAUUAGCUAGUUGGUGAGGUAACGGCUCACCAAGGCGACGAUGCGUAGCCAACCUGAGAGGGUGAUCGGCCACACUGGGACUGAGACACGGCCCAUACUCCUACGGGAGGCAGCAGUAGGGAAUCUUCCACAAUGGACGAAAGUCUGAUGGAGCGCCGCCGCGUGAGUGAAGAAGGAUUUCGGUUCGUAAAACUCUGUUGUAAGGCAAGAACAAGUACAGUAGUAACUGGCUGUACCUUGACGGUACCUUAUUAGAAAG